rnacentral:rRNA from 1 species
CACUCCUACGGGAGGCAGCAGUGGGGAAUAUUGGACAAUGGGCGCAAGCCUGAUCCAGCCAUGCCGCGUGAGUGAUGAAGGCCCUAGGGUUGUAAAGCUCUUUCACCGGUGAAGAUAAUGACGGUAACCGGAGAAGAAGCCCCGGCUAACUUCGUGCCAGCAGCCGCGGUAAUACGAAGGGGGCUAGCGUUGUUCGGAUUUACUGGGCGUAAAGCGCACGUAGGCGGACUAUUAAGUCAGGGGUGAAAUCCCGGGGCUCAACCCCGGAACUGCCUUUGAUACUGGUAGUCUUGAGUUCGAGAGAGGUGAGUGGAAUUCCGAGUGUAGAGGUGAAAUUCGUAGAUAUUCGGAGGAACACCAGUGGCGAAGGCGGCUCACUGGCUCGAUACUGACGCUGAGGUGCGAAAGCGUGGGGAUCAAACAGGAUUAGAAACCCGUGUAGUCCC